GAUGGAGUGAUGGAGUGCAGGGGCGUGACCUCAGCUCACUGCAACCUUCACCUCCCAGGUUCAAGUGAUUCUCCUGCCUCUGCCUCCCGAAUAGCUGGGAUUACAGGUAUGCACUACUACACUGGGCUAAGUUUUGUAUUUUCAGUAGAGAUGGGGUUUCACCACUUGGCCAGGCUGGUCUCGAACUUCUGACCUCAAGCAAUCCUCCCGCCUUAGGCUCCCAAAGUGGUGGGAUUACAGGCCUGAACCACAGGGCCCAGCCUUGGCUUGUGGUUCUUUUACUAAAUAUGGAAUAGCGAUAAAGCUUAUGUAUCAUAUUUGUAAAAGAAAGCUAGGCACAUGAAGCAGAAUUAAUUCAUGAGGGAAAAUAUUUAUUUUACUCUCAAGUCUCCCGAAAGUUAUUGUAUUCAUUUAAACUCAAUUUCUAAUUUUUUUAGUUACCCAAAUACUAUUGCAUUAAAUGCAUUAAAGAGAGCAUUGUACCUAGCAGAUAUGUGAGAAACAGUUUGACUUUUUAACCACUAAAAAAUGUCCAAAUAUCAGAAUUUAUUUUAUUUUAAAUUUCAAAAAAAUCCUUAUUUUAUAUGAUAAAAAUCAAGUUGAUUUGUAAGUCAUAUAUAUCAGCUUAUUAUCAAGAACUAUUGCUAUGUAAAAGAACUUAGGACUGUGUAAUUAGAACUAUGUAAUAGAAAUAUUUACAGAAGACUAUAUCUGCCAACAUGAGAUACUCUACCACCAUAACUUAUAUCAAUGACUCUUGUUCUAUCAUCGUGUGCAUUAUAAAUAGUGCAAAAUUUCAAGAAAUUUCCAUUUUGAGAUAUAAGAAAUCAAUAUGCUGGGAAAACUAAUAUCAAACUCUGAAGUAGAUAUAUUUCAUUUUAUAUAUAUUUUAAAUGACCUUUAACUAAAGGUUAAAUUGGAUUGACACACUGAAGAUAAAUUUUUUUAUUAUUAUCAUCAUUAAAUUAUUAUUUUGUGACUAUUACUAUUCAACUAACACUACAUCUGAUAAUAUAAUGAUAAACACAUUCCUUUUUUAUAUUAACUAGCAUUUUUUUCGAGUUUCUUAAAGCUUUGUUUGCAACUCUGGAUGAUUUAUGUGGGACAUGAUAAAACCAAUCUCCACACAGGCUAAUUUGAGACCUGGCAUCAUUGUCUCUCUCUGAACAAUCUGGAAGCUUUUUUAUGGUAGUGAAUUGCUCAUUUGGGGUGCGAGGAUUGAAGCAGAGACAUAAAUUCUGGCCAGAAUUCUAUGCUUUAAUUAAAUAGUGUCAAGGGAUUGAUCGCAGCAUAUUGAUCCAUAACUGAACAUUUUAUCCAUGAAGUCACAGGUCCAGUGAGUCAUCAUUGCCUAGAAUACCCUACUUCAAACAAUGAAACUCACUUUCAAUCUAUCAUCAUCUUUCACUCUUCAGUGAAACCCCAUGUAGCUUCCAGAUGUGGUUUCAGGAUUUCUCUAUAUUGUUGGAGAGAACUGAAAGUCAUAGAGGACACCAAGCAUCACGCCUGACCAGCAAUGGAACAGCCCUACCUUAAUGUUUAUCACUUCGCUUCCACUUUCCUAAUUUCACUCAAGUUUCUAUUACUGAGAAACUCAAACUUGUACUAAAACAAAGAAGAGGAUUCCAAGGAAAAACAAGAACCUGAGACCUGCCGAACAGCAGGUGCCAAAGAUGCUGCUGUAACACCACAGCCCUCCCAUCUUCCAUCCUCCACUGGCGCUGAGUGGCAGUCCCAUGUGACAGGAAGUGGAGGCAGAGCUGGGCCAGCCCAGGAGCCACGUGCUGGAGCCAGAUACUCUGUUUUUCUACAAAUGGAAAGUUUGUGGCAUCCUUGACUCAAGCAAAUUUUUCAGCACCAUUUUUCAAGAGCGUGUGCUCACUUCACCUCUCUGUAUCGUGUUUUGAUGCUUGUCCUGGAAACCAACCAUGAGCUGUGAUGAAAUCCAGGCAACUGAGUUGUGUUUCAGCCCAAAGCAGCAAAUGGAAUCCAGCUUCAGGACCAUCAUCUGACAUAGGGGAAGAAGACUUACAUAGAAGGCCUAACCAGCACCCAAGAUCAUGCUCAUAGGUGGAGGAGACUUGCUUUGUCUCAGAUGAGACUUUGGACUGUGGACUUUUGAGUUAAUGCUGAAAUGAGUUGAGACUUUGGGGAACUGUUGGGAAGGCAUGAUUGGUUUUAAAUAUGAAUAUAUGAGAUUUGGGAGGGGGUCAGGGGUGGAAUGAUAUGGUUUGGCUCUGUGUCCCCACCCAAAUCUCAUCUUGUAGCUCCCAUAAUCCUCCCAUGUUGUGGGAGGGACCCAGUGGGAGAUGAUUGAAUCAUGAGGGCGGGUCUUUCUCAUGCUGUUCAUGAUCCCAUUCAUGUGAGAAAGACCCAUGUGAUCAUGAAUGGGUCUCACAAGAUCUGAUGGUGUUAAAAAUGGGAGUUUCUCUGCACAAGCUCUCUGCCUGCUGCCAUUCACAAAGGAUGUGACUUGCUUCUCCUUGCCUUCUGCUAUGAUUGUGAGGCCUCCCUAGCCAUGUGGAACUGUGAGUCCAAUUAAACCUCUUUCUUUUGUAAAUU
rnacentral:lncRNA from 1 species